ACAAACAAAAAACACACUUAAUACUCCAAAUAUUAUCAGCCAGAUUCAGUACAGAGCUCCUAUUGUACAAAUAACAUAUACUUUACAAGCUCUACACAUAAUAAGCUCUAACAUAUACAAGCUCUACUUGUGAUACUCCAAACAUUCUCCAGAAGCUCUACAAGUAUGGCAAUCACAGUUACAAGCUCCACAUGUGAUACAGUUACAAGCUAUGUUCUUCAGCAUGGAGCUCCUUCAAUAACAAUCACAAAGUAGGCACCUACUCCUGUCAGGACUGGGCCAACAGAACGGUGAUAUGCCUUCCACGGUCACCCUGAUACAUGAAUCAACAGAGAAGAAUUAGGAAAACUGGAGCCAAUAUAGCAAGAAGAGACCAUUCAAAAAAUGACAGCUAUUUAUAUUAGAAUGACGACACAAAUUCAGCUAGUACCAUGAUUUUUGUUCUCCAGCUAGUUAAAAUGAGAUACUCAUUCAUACAAGAAAACAGAGAAAAAUAUGAAUAUGUAUUGCACAAGUGCGAGUCGUGCAAAAAACUUCACUACACCAAAUUGCACCUAAACAAUAAUACCAUUCUACUACCACAACCAUCCAUUCAACAGGCAAGAUCAAACAUUACUAGUCAGAGUACGUAGGCUUAGCAUCACUAACAUCACAAAUACACGAGAGAAUAAAGGGAACCAAGAGAGAUACCUAAGGAUGAUAGCAUCGUGAUGAUUUGGAUUGAGUUAGCAUCUGUGAGGAGGUGAAUUAUCACCAUGGUGUGCUUGAUGAUGCACACAGCCAUGAUCUUACCACCGUUGCAUCCGUGCGCUAGAUCAGGGGGGUACCAAUGCAUUCAAGUAGAACAAAAUCACCAUCGUUAAACCACAACUUUAACUACAAACUAAGUAUGUAUCAAGUAACAACGAAAACAAGUUGAGAAAAACACAGAAAAUAAUUACUUCAUGUCAUGCAGAGUUCAAACUAAAUAAACACAUGCAACGUUCAAACCAAAUAAACAUAUGCAUGAUAUUGUCCUACAGAUGAAAGAAGGACAACAUCUAUAAGGUUAGUCGAGCUUAAUAAAGACAUAGAGAGAGAGAGAGUAAAUGUUCUCAGGUUAGCCUUAACAUGGCAGCCUAACUUGUGCUUAAUUUUGAGCAAACAUACAUAUCAAUACAGGGUUAGGCAAGACAGUAAAGAAAGACAUAGGUGCUAGAGUUAGAAAACACUAGUGAUACAAGUAGCAUAAGCAUAAUACAACACAGUAUAUUUGUUGUGUGGAUAUAUACAUAUAAUUGGCCAUCAUUUUAUCUUCCAAAUUAAUAGUUACCACAGUGAAAACCUUGACAAGAGAAGAUAAACUUUGACAACACAAGGUGAGAUGAAAGAUAGCAAACAACACAUGCCAGCCAUCAAUUUUUAUUCUACUGAACAAAUUGGACAACAACCACCUAUUUUGUAACAACUUCAGUUAACUUGGGAGAAAUCCAACCAAACCAAUUGAUAAACAAAUUUCUACUGAAUUUUGGGGCAUCAAGCAAGCAACCUAAUUGGCAAACAAUGAAAUCAAGCAUGUAAGCAAAUUUGGAGCAGCGCCAAAUCAGGGACCAAGCCUAGUAAACCAAAACAAGGAGAUGCAGAGGGAGGUCUUAACCUAGAGUUGCAUCUUCCCCGCAGCUAGGCGUCUCCUCUCCCUGCAUCCGAGUCGAGUUGGUGAUGUUGCAACCGUGCAGCUGCUCCUGCACAUCACGGAAGGGAAUGGAAGGUAAGGUCAAAAUCUGGAGCCAAUAUAUUAUGAACAUUUCAUUCAGAAAACGAACAAGUUCAUUAGAAUGAUAACACAAAUUCAGCUACGACAAUGCUUCGUUCUCCAGCUAGUUAAAAUGAGAUACUCAUUC
rnacentral:lncRNA from 1 species